CUCUGAGACAGGUGCUGCAUGGCUGUCGUCAGCUCGUGUUGUGAAAUGUUGGGUUAAGUCCCGCAACGAGCGCAACCCUUAUCCUUGUUUGCCAGCGAGUAAUGUCGGGAACUCCAGGGAGACUGCCGGUGAUAAACCGGAGGAAGGUGGGGACGACGUCAAGUCAUCAUGGCCCUUACGAGUAGGGCUACACACGUGCUACAAUGGCGCAUACAGAGGGCGGCCAACUUGCGAAAGUGAGCGAAUCCCAAAAAGUGCGUCGUAGUCCGGAUUGGAGUCUGCAACUCGACUCCAUGAAGUCGGAAUCGCUAGUAAUCGUGGAUCAGAAUGCCACGGUGAAUACGUUCCCGGGCCUUGUACACACCGCCCGUCACACCAUGGGAGUGGGCUGCAAAAGAAGUGGGUAGUUUAACCUUCGGGAGGACGCUCACCACUUUGUGGUUCAUGACUGGGGUGAAGUCGUAACAAGGUAGCGCUAGGGGAACCUGGCGCUGGAUCACCUCCUUA
rnacentral:rRNA from 1 species